rnacentral:lncRNA from 1 species
GUAAAAGUACCUCUUAUGUCUAGAUGUCAGGCUAUAAAAUCAUCACAUCCUUGAUUGCUCAACCGAAUUUGUGAAAUCUUGCAAAACAUGAACCGGAUUAAAACUAGUCCUUAUGAGCUCUUAUUCCCUAGCACCAGUAUGUGUGUCAAUAAAAUCAUUUACACUCGUUAACACCAUAUGCCCUUUAGGUGUAAUUAUUUUCCGGGUCGUUCCAUUCCAUAUGUUAACAUCCUCUUUCACCAAUUCUCCAAAUGUAUCCGACUGUAAACCAGAUGCAAUAUAUUUCCUGAUUAUUACACGUCUCUGGUUAGGUGAUUAGCCUGCACUUAUUCGUUGGUUCGUGAGUCCAUCUUCUUUCGGUUGUUGUCGCCACGCCAGUUAUACCUUUGUCGAUUCUUUGCACCAUGACUACAAGGACAACAUACAGAUUAUUCUAUCUACGGACAAUAAUGUCAUCUGUUGGGACGACGACAAUGUUUAAUUCCUGACAACCUUUAAAAAUAGGCUUUUGGACCGCUUUCUAAAUAAAGUUUUAUCAUAUUCAACAAAAGUUAAGUGGUUAUUUGGAUACAGAGAACUAUAUGUGAUAUUUUAGGAAAUCAAUUUUAAGAGGUUUUCAAAAGAAAAAACAGUUUUAGUUAGUUUUUCUAUUAAGAUAAGUUUAUAGAAUUCCUUUUUUGGAUGAAAAAAUAGAUACCAUGACUACGUAGUUCAAUUUUACACUGGCGAGAGUCUCCACUUACAUUCUUGAAUAGUCCUAUUGAGCAAAGCGAAGGUGUGCAUACGUGCAAGUGUAGAUGAGUGAGCUCCCACUCAUGCGCUCCCAUGACCUAGCGACUCCACCUCCCUAGUCUACCCCUGCCUCCGCAACCCCUCCCAACCGUCACCACCUUGUCGCCACGGAUAUGCGACCCCUUCCCCUUUCUCAUGCGCACAACCAAAAUCGAGGGCGCCGUGGGUACCCCUCCUUUCAUGUACGAGGCGUUCCAGAAAAAUUGAGAUCGGUCCACUCGGUGCCGUCAGAGAUGUUGAUGGAGAUGCGAGGACGACGCUGGUGGGAGGGGAUAGAGUGGAUCCGUGACGACUCUUCGUCGUGGUCGCAAUGCGUGCGAGAGUGGAAGGAGGUGCACGAGGAGGUGGAGCGGAGAUCGAUCCAAUUCUAAGAUACAUGAGGGAGAGGUUUGCACAUACCACUAAGGUGCAAGCGGAUCGCGAACAAAUUAACUUAGCGAGGCGACCACUUCGAGGGCAAAAGGAUAGAGAAGGCAACGAUGCCGUCGUUCCCACCCUCACCGUCGGUGGGCUUCAUCCACUGGGUGAAGGGGAGGCAAAGUCGGGGUAUCUAGCGUGCAAGGAGCGGUGGGAGUGCAUCGUGGCAUUGAUGCCAACGAGCGUCCCACCGUUCCUAGAGCCGGCGGACCCACUGCCUUGUCGUUGGAACCAGCUAGGGCUUGAAACCCAACAUUAGAGUUGGGUGGGUGGAUGAGAGCUUGAGGAAGACCGGAUGGAGAUUUGGGGCCUUGCAUCAUCUAGAUGAAGAAGAUUCAGUUUCAGAAGAGGAACUUGACUAGAAAAAUCGCAAUCCUAAUUUGGCCACCAUCGGGGAUGCUUUCUUACGAGCUCAAAAACAGUGUUUGCAUAAUUGACCUAAGAAGCGGAGUUCUCGGAUUGAUGUCGUGGUGAGCUGCUUGGGAAAGAAGACCGCUCAAGCACAUGUACCUUUGGCAACAUCUGAUUUCAGGUAUGUCGAUACCGAACAGGUUGCAAAUCUGAUAUUGUCCCUUUUACCCGCAAUUAGUCUCUGUAUGGGUAGGUCCUUGGUUCCAAAUUGUUGGUGGGAGACCUGUUUGUGUGGGAGCAGGGUCGGUGCUAAAAUCGACAGAUCUCGGGUAGAGGGUCCCAAACUGGUGAUCGGAAACGAUGGUAAACAGGGAGUAGAGACACACAGAUUUACCCAGGUUCGGGUCUUCUCGAAGCGGUAAAACUCUACAUCAUGCUUGUGUUGUAUUGAUUGUGGAUGUGAUACAAAGUGCAAAUGAACUACCUUGAGGUCGUGUUAUAAGAUCUAAACUUGUAUGAGUGUCUCUAAAGGCUAAAGCCAUCGGUUUAUGUAUGCACUGGGGGUAUUUAGGUUUUACACAUGGUUGGUUACAAGCUAGUGAUAAACAUGCUGAACAUCAAAAUAGACUUUGGAGUACAUGCCAAUUCUUCAAAGGUUUCCAUGCUAGGUAUGCCGAGGACCAUAGCUUCGAGUGUGCUUCCUUAAAAGAUUGAUGGGUCAUCUGUUCAGCCCAUGGUUGACUCAUCGACAUGGUGAGCACCCCUUGGUCCAGUAAACCAUGAGUAGCCCCUAAACUGGUCUUCAAAGCCCAGGACAUUGACGCCCUCCUCAAACAUCUUUUCCUUCUCACGAUAUUCAGCUUUAUAGGAGGUGUGCGUUUUUUUGUACUUGGCGGGGUGUUUAUGUUUCGUCGUGUAUCCCUCUUCUUUCUUAGUACUCUUGCAUGGUUUGAGAACGUGAAUUAAAUAUUUUCUAUCUACAUAUCCAUAUCAAUAUAAAAAUAACGAGGUACGAAGAUCCAACAUAUCUCACGAGCCAACCGUGUCUACCAAUAAUCUACGUCGCUUCGGUGUUUGGCACAAAACAUAUUUAGCACUAGACACGUUUAGCACCCUCUCUUAAUAAAUAACAUCCUAAUGUCAACGUCAACGUUAGCCAAGUAAUUACAUCAUAUGAAAUGUUAACACACAAUUUAUAUCUUGCCUCAUAGUAUUAACGUGUAAUGCGAUUACUGUCUUGCCUAAUACUAACGUGAUACACUUUUUUUUUUGAAACGUGCACACACACAGGAUAUAGUAACUCAAAACAUCAAAAAAAUGUUUUUGAGGGGAAGGGGGAACUCAAAACAUCAACUUGGAUUGGUUCAGGCAAGACGCGGUUUAUGCUCGAAAGGUUUACAGCCCAGAAGCACCACCUCAUCGACAUCUCCUCAAGCCCAGCAGACCCAUGCCCGCCGCUUAAGAAGGCCCAGCUCGCGCUAGCCUCACCUCUCGUGGCCCUCACGCUUUGCGUCCCGGCCAACCCUACUUGACCUCCUCGCGCCGCAAAACCCUAACGAGCGGCGAGCCGCCUCUCUCUCUGAGCAUCAUCACACCCCUCGCCCCCCCCAAUCCCGCCGCGCGCGCCCCCCAUCGCGGCCGCCCCCGAGCCCCCGCCCCGGAACCUUCCAGGACCCGCGGAUCGCCGGAGCAGCCAGCCAGCCGGCGCGCGGCCAUCGCCGCCACCGACGCGCGGCCAUCGCCGCCACCGACGCGCGCAUGGAGAAGCUCCGCAUCCACCGCUGCGGCGGCGGCGCGGUCGCCUGGACGCCCUCCCCCAUCGUCGCGCUCGCCACCUCCCCCUGCGCCUCCCAGGUCGCCGCCGCGCGAGAGGACGGCUCCCUCGAGCUAUGGCUCGUCUCCCCCGGCUCGGCCGGGUGGCACAACCAGCUCGUACGCUCCCCCGCCGCACCCUCACCCUCCUCCUCGCCGCGCCGAGGUUUCUGCGACCAACCCCCCCGGGAUUUCGCCGUGACCUGAUUUUGGGUUUCUGUGGCCGCAGACUGUACAGGGAGGCGCCGAGUCGAGGGUCACGUCGCUUGUGUGGGUGCCAAAUGGCGCAGGGGGCCGCCUGCUCUCUUCCAGCGUUGAUGGGUCGGUGGCGGAAUGGGAUCUCUUCCACCUGCAGCAAAAGGUGCCGCGCUUUGCGUGCUUGUGCUACAUUUCACUUCCAGUUCAAACGCACUCGUCAUUUCACAAGCAUAGGGGAAUAGGUAUAGGUUUCCAACUUGCUGGCAGUGUGUAGCAAUGGCAUGAAGUUCGAGGUUUGUGCAUACCGCCCGGAAGCGUGUGAUUGGGUUGUACAAUGCCUGGUCCUCUUACCAUCUUGGGUGCAGAAAAUGCAACGUGGUAGGAGUGUAUCUGACAUAAGUUCCAUUGGAUGGUUACAUCUGUUUUUAUUUGAAUGUACUUGUAUAUUUAUGGCUUUGCUAUCCUAUUAGUCAUUGUAAGUUUGUGGAUGUAAUCAUGAUGGUUUUAUUAUUGUCUUUUGUAGACUGUCCUAGAUACUAUUGGGGUACCGGUCUGGCAGAUGGCCAUGGAGCCUGCAUAUGAUCAAUUGAUUUCUGGAAAUAAAAGCUCAGGAUGCACUGCCAAUGGCCAUGCAAAUCAUAACGGAUCUACCGACUCUGAAUUAAGUUAUGUUGAUGAUGGUCAGAGCUCUGAUGAUGAAGAUGAUUCUGCAAAGACAAGCUCUUCGUAUCGUGCGAAUGAGUUUCCGCGUUUGGCUCUGGCAUGUGACGAUGGUUCUGUACGCCUGUAUAAUGUGCCUGAAUCUGGCCCACUGACCUACUAUAGAUCUCUUCCAAGAGUGAGCGGUAUGUCCUGUAUAUCUUUCAUCUCCCUAUUUUGGCAGUGAUUUCAACUACGAUGGUUAUUUAUGUGCUUACUUGCAGGACGAGUUUUGAGUGUGACAUGGAGUAAUAAUGCCAAAUUCAUAUUUUCUGGAAGCAGCGAUGGGUAUGUUACCAUACCAUUCAGUGUAAAUAGCUUUUUAUGAUGGAUCAUAUGUGAUUCUUUCCGUGUACUCCCUCCGUUCCUAAAUAUAAGUCUUUUUAGAUGUUUCACUACGAAUUACAUACGGAUGUAUAUAGACAUACUUUAGAGUGUAGAUUCACUCAUUUUGCUCCGUAUGUAGUCUCUAGUGUGAUCUCUAGAAAGACUUAUAUUUAGGAACGGAUGCAGUAUAUAAUUAGACUGUUGAGCAUCUUUCUUUCUCUUCUAUAAUUAUAGGCCAUUGCUUUUUUAUUUAUGGGAAUGUGAUCUCUAUGGGUUCAUUUUUGUGAUAUAGUCUUGUACUAUGCUCUACAGGUUAAUUAGAUGCUGGGAUUCAACAAUUUUCCAUGAAAAGUAUCGCAUCACUGCUGGAUUAGGGGGUGCUGGUAGUGGAAGUGAACUUUGUAUAUGGUCAUUACUAUUUCUGAGGUGAGACAACGCAUAUUCUUAUGUUCGAUGCUCUUCUCCCUCUGGCUGCUUGUUUUGAUUGUUGCUGUUGCUAUGUAGGUGCGGAACCCUUGUUAGCGGAGAUAGUUCUGGGAGUGUUCAAUUUUGGGAUAACCGCCAUGGAACUCUUCUUCAAGCCCACACUUACCAUAAAGGCGAUGUUAAUGCACUAGCAACUGUGCCUAGUCAGAACCGGGUAUUUUCUGCAGGAUCUGAUGGGCAGGUUGGUAGCAUUGCUGAAACAGCUGUUAGGUGGAUUAACUACACUUACGAAAACUUCUCUCUAUGUCUGUGUUUUUGCCUUCAAAAACUUGAGAAGCUGUUAUUGUUGAAUGCAAUACAUGUCGGGACAUUUUCUUACAUUAUAGCUGUGCAGUAAAUACACCCUAUAAAUUGGAAAUAGACUUUUCAAUUAAAUGUGUUGUGUUUGUUGCAAUUCAAGAAGCCUCGAGUCAAGCAUGCUGUACCUGUUUUUCUUCGCUUUCUAACUGAACAGUUGAUCUCUAGGUAAUUUUGUACAAGGCAUCGAAAGAUGGGUUCAGUGCUCAUAAUGAGAAGGCGGCUGAAGAGCAAAUGCACAAGUGGGUCUAUGUGGGAUAUGUUAGGGCCCAUUCUCAUGAUGUAAGGGCAUUGACUAUGGCCGUGCCAAUAUGCAAAGAAGGUUUGUGUUAGUGCAUAUCGUAAUCUGACCUCCAAUUGUGUUUACACUGAUUUUAUCUGUUCUCUUUUAUUGGUUCAGAUGCUGUGCCAGAGGAGAAGGUGGUGAAGAUACGUCGCAAAGAUGAAUUCAGUUACCACAAGUGGGCGCAUCUGGGUGUACCGAUGCUCAUUUCUGGUGGGGAUGACACCAAGCUGUUUGCUUAUUCUGCACGGGACUUCACUCAGUACUCACCUCAUAACUUCUGCCCUGCGCCUCAACGUCCAUUGAUAAAUCUAGCAAGAGAUUGCACAGUUAAUGGAGACUCUGUGAUGCUUGUCCAGUCUGUUAACUGCUUGGAUGUUCUACUUGUGUCAGUUCAGAACAAACAGGCUCCAAGUACAUCGUCCAGAGGAGAUGCUACGAUACGACAAGUUGUUCAUCUUAAAAGCAAGGGGUCCAGAAAAAUUAUAGCAAGUGCUGUUUCCACCAAUGGAAUGCUAUUUGCCUACUCAGAUUGUGUGAAACCCUGCCUUUUUGCACUAAGACACAAGGGUGGAAAGAAGUUCUCUCUAGAUAAAAUGGAGUUGCCAAAGGGAAUACCAUCUUCUCAGAGCAUGAUGUUUACUGCUGAUUCAUCCAGUUUGCUUCUAUCUUGCAAUGAUGGGAAAAUAUAUGUAAGUGUUUCUUUGAGCUGCCCCCCGUUGUACCCAUAGGAGAAUGGUUAGUAGAUGUUUCACUAUCUGUGCAUUGUAACUGCUUCACUCAUGUCGUUGCGGCUGCCAUGCGCCUAAAACUAUUCUUCUCAUGCCUUACGGGAAACAAUUUUAGUAGAUUAACAAUAUGCAGAUAGAAAAUAGUCCAUUUGAAGUCUUGUACAUUUAGUAUAGUACUAUCAGAUGUUGAACAUAGUAAUAGCAUGUCUAACUAAUCUGAAGGUGCAUAUUGAUAUAAAUCCACUUCUGUCUUUUUGUGCCUUAUUACUCAUACCUUUGCUAGUGUUGAAUUGAGCAUGAAUGGUCAAAUCACAAGGUUAGAAUUGGGAUGUGAUUUACAUCCCCAAUAAUUUGACUUAUUUCCUGUGGAGUUAAAUACAUCUUGAUGAUCGAGUCCAUGCUUAUGUUUUGUUUGUCGUCUCAAUCCUCUGUUAUUUUAUUUCUGAACUUCAUUUCUACGGUAAAAUCAGGUUGUGGAUAUUGCCUCAAGAAAAAUUUCAAAUAUAUUUCACCCUACAAGAAAGAUCGAUGGAGCAAAAACUUCUUCCAAAGAACAACCUGUCACAAAAAUGUUUGUGAGUGCUGAUGGGCAGUGGGUCGCUGCAGCUAACUGCUUUGGGGAUGUCUACAUAUUUAACCUUGAGAUCCAGAGGUAUGCUUCAUAUCAGUUGACUGCGUGUGACCCUCUGAAUGUGCUUUCAUGUCUAGUAAGAUACUAAUUUACUACUGUAUAAUGUAAUCUUGUGAUUCACAAGUUCCGGCUUACUGUCCUUUGGCAUAUGACUUGGCAGACCAUCAGUUUUCAUGAUUAUGCAUUGGAAGGCAUGCUUUUGUACCAUAUCUAAUCUUUCCUAUUUUCUGCAGGCAGCACUGGUUCAUACCGAGAAUGAAUGAUGGUUCGGUUACAGCUGGUGGUUUUUGUCCCAAGAACAAUGCCCUUGUUAUAACUACCUCUAGAAAUGAGGUAUAUGUAUUUGAUGUGGAAGCAAAAGAACUGGGCGAAUGGUCUAAGCGUCAUACACACGAGUUACCGAAAAGAUUCCAAGAGUUUCCUGGAGAGGUCAUUGGCCUCUCAUUUCAUACACUGAGCCCAUUUUCAGUCAUGGUAUACAGUGCAAGGUAAUAACCUUCCAUUGCUUAGUGUUUCACUACUUAGUGUUGUUUAUUGCUGAACUGUUUUUGGCUAGGCCAGUUAUGCUAUUUGGUUGACAAUGAUUAACUUGAAGCUGAACGCACAAAUGUGUUUUCUUUUCCAGGGCAAUGUGCAAGAUUGAUUUUGGAUUGCCAGUUGUUCAGGAUGUCCAAUUGUCAAAAUCAGAGAAGGCAGACUCACAAAAGGCUAAGGACAUUAAAUUAGAGAAGGGAGGCUUACAAAAGGCUACAAAAACAAAGGUUAAGCGGAAACAUCGUGAUGAAGAUUUGGAACAAGAGAAAAGGAAUAACUUCACCUUCUUUGCCUUUAAAGAUCCGGUGCUGUUUGCUGGCCACCUACUGGACAGUUCACUUCUGGUAGUAGAGAAGCAAUGGAUGGAUGUUGUCAAAGGAUUCGGCCCGCCGGUCCACAGACACAUAUACGGGACAUGAUCC